GCCUGGGUGGCUCAGUCAGUUAAGUGUCUGACUUUGGCUCAGGUCAUGAUCUCAUGGUUUGUGAGUUCAAGCCCCACAUCAGGCU
rnacentral:tRNA from 1 species